rnacentral:rRNA from 1 species
CUGCUGCCUUCCGUAGGAGUUUGGGCCGUGUCUCAGUCCCAAUGUGGCCGUUCACCCUCUCAGGCCGGCUACUGAUCGUUGCCUUGGUAGGCCAUUACCCCACCAACUAGCUAAUCAGACGCGGAACCAUCGUAUACCACCAGAGUUUUUCACACCGCUUCAUGCGAAGCUGUGCGCUUAUGCGGUAUUAGCACCUAUUUCUAAGUGUUAUCCCCCAGUAUACGGCAGGUUUUCCACGCGUUACUCACCCGUCCGCCAA